UGAAAUGCCCUAAAUUGCCUGAUUGCAUCAGAUCCAAUCUGAUCUUGGAAGUGAAGCAGGGUCAGCCCUGGUAAUACAUUGAUGGGAGACCACCAACGAAUACUAGGUACUGAACAAU
rnacentral:rRNA from 1 species